rnacentral:rRNA from 1 species
GACGAACGCUGGCGGCGUGCUUAACACAUGCAAGUCGAACGAAAAGGCCCUGCUUUUGUGGGGUGCUCGAGUGGCGAACGGGUGAGUAACACGUGAGUAACCUGCCCUUGACUUUGGGAUAACUUCAGGAAACUGGGGCUAAUACCGGAUAGGAGCUCCUGCUGCAUGGUGAGGGUUGGAAAGUUUCGGCGGUUGGGGAUGGACUCGCGGCUUAUCAGCUUGUUGGUGGGGUAGUGGCUUACCAAGGCUUUGACGGGUAGCCGGCCUGAGAGGGUGACCGGCCACAUUGGGACUGAGAUACGGCCCAGACUCCUACGGGAGGCAGCAGUGGGGAAUAUUGCACAAUGGGCGGAAGCCUGAUGCAGCAACGCCGCGUGCGGGAUGACGGCCUUCGGGUUGUAAACCGCUUUCGCCUGUGACGAAGCGUGAGUGACGGUAAUGGGUAAAGAAGCACCGGCUAACUACGUG